rnacentral:tRNA from 1 species
AAUUAAGUCGCUGAUUGAAAAAGGACUCAGGCCCAAAGAAUCCGGCCCUGAAAAGGCCGGCGUCGACGGUUCAACUCCGUCCCUGGCCA